rnacentral:lncRNA from 1 species
UUUUGAGGAUUAUCAUUCAAUUCAGUUCUUAUUCUCAUAAUUUCGUCUUCACUCUAUCAAUUUGGUGCGGUGAGCGUGGAAUCCUAUGGCGACGAAUAAGGAACGGAUUGAACAGGUAGAGAAGACGGUAGAGGAAGUGCAGGCGGCAGUUGGCGGAUUGGAGAAUUCGAUGGCUACCAUGCAGAAAACCCUAGCCGCUAUUUUGGCUAAACUAUCAGACAAGGAAAGUUCAAGCAGCUCGGAUAGUAGCGGGGAAUCAGGUAAGCAUCAUACUUCAGACACAACCUCACCACGGAUGGAUUUA